UACGUUCCCGGGCCUUGUACACACCGCCCGUCAAGUCACGAAAGUCGGUAACACCCGAAGCCGGUGGCCCAACUCUUUGAGGGGGAGCCGUCGAAGGUGGGACUGGCGAUUGGGACU
rnacentral:rRNA from 1 species